rnacentral:lncRNA from 1 species
CCUGCACCAAGCUUCAUUAACAGCUAUUGGGAGCAGGUCGGUUGCUCCUUCUGACCCGCGUGCUGCGCUCAGAGGCGCACUCCCCGCGGACGCACGCUCUCGGCCGACCUUUCCCCGCGAGCUCCCCGGUGCCCUGCCUCUGGCAUCGCCAUUCAGGCGGCCCCUCGGGCCGACAGCGUGUUCACCCGGGCGGCGUUACCGGACGAGACCCGGCCUGGGAUCUGCGGAGACUGGGCGGCUGCUGGCGGACGCGAGGGGCGGGCUGCGCGGCGGAGGGUGCACCAGGCAGCGCUCACUGCGCGCGGCGCUAGGGGCUCGGC